GCUGGGCGUGGUGACCCACACCUACAAUUCCAACAACUCGGAGGCUGACGCAGGAGAACUGCAAGUACCAGGCCAGUCCCGGUAACUUAGCAAGACCCUGUCUCAA
rnacentral:sRNA from 1 species